CAGCAGCCGCGGGAAUACGGAGGGUGCAAGCGUUAUCCGGAUUUAUUGGGUUUAAAGGGUCCGUAGGCGGACUUAUAAGUCAGUGGUGAAAGCCUGUCGCUUAACGAUAGAACUGCCAUUGAUACUGUAAGUCUUGAGUAUAUUUGAGGUAGCUGGAAUAAGUAGUGUAGCGGUGAAAUGCAUAGAUAUUACUUAGAACACCAAUUGCGAAGGCAGGUUACCAAGAUAUAACUGACGCUGAGGGACGAAAGCGUGGGUAGCGAACAGGAUUAGAUACCCCGGUAGUCCCUGUCUCUUAUAA
rnacentral:rRNA from 1 species